UACGUAGGUGGCGAGCGUUGUCCGGAAUUACUGGGCGUAAAGCGUGCGCAGGCGGUUCGUUGUGUCGGUGGUGAAAGCCCCGGGCUUAACCUGGGAAUGGCCAUGGAAACUGGCGAACUGGAGUGUGGCAGAGGGGGGUGGAAUUCCGCGUGUAGCAGUGAAAUGCGUAGAGAUGCGGCGGAACACCGAUGGCGAAGGCAGCCCCCUGGGCUGAGAUUGACGCUCAGGCACGAAAGCGUGGGGAGCAAACAGG
rnacentral:rRNA from 1 species